rnacentral:rRNA from 1 species
GGGGAAAGCUUUCGGGUGAGUACCAGUGGCGCACGGGUGAGUAACGCGUGGGUAAUCUGCCGUAGAGUGGGGGAUAUCCAGUCGAAAGACUGGCUAAUACCGCAUAAGACCACAGGAUCUGAGGAUCUAGGGGUUAAAGGUUUUUCGCUCUAUGAUGAGCCCGCGUGAGAUUAGCUAGUUGGUGAGGUAACGGCUCACCAAGGCGACGAUCUCUAGAUGGUCUGAGAGGAUGAUCAUCCACACUGGAACUGAGACACGGUCCAGACUCCUACGGGAGGCAGCAGUAGGGAAUAUUGCACAAUGGAGGAAACUCUGAUGCAGCGACGCCGCGUGAGUGAUGAAGGCCUUCGGGUUGUAAGGCUCUGUCGCACGGGAAUAAGAAAGUGAAUGUACCGUGCAAGAAAGGAUCGGCUAACUUCGUGCCAGCAGCCGCGGUAAGACGAGGGAUCCUAGCGUUGUUCGGAAUCAUUGGGCGUAAAGCGGGUGCAUGUGGCUUUGUAAGUCAAGUGUGAAAUCCCAGGGCUCAACCCUGGAAGUGCAUUUGAUACUGCAAAGCUUGAGUGCUGGAGAGGUAAGCAGAAUACCUAGUGUAGUGGUGAAAUACGUAGAUAUUAGGUGGAAUACCGGAGGCGAAGGCGGCUUACUGGCCAGACACUGACACUCAGACCCGAAAGCGUGGGGAUCAAACAGGAUUAGAUACCCUGGUAGUCCACGCCGUAAACGAUGGAUACUUGUUGUUGGAGGUAUUGACCCCUUCAGUGACGAAGCUAACGCGUUAAGUAUCCCGCCUGGGGAGUAC